rnacentral:rRNA from 1 species
GACGAACGCUGGCGGCGUGCUUAACACAUGCAAGUCGAACGGAAAGGCCCUGCUUUUGUGGGGUGCUCGAGUGGCGAACGGGUGAGUAACACGUGAGUAACCUGCCCUUGACUUUGGGAUAACUUCAGGAAACUGGGGCUAAUACCGGAUAGGAGCUCCUGCUGCAUGGUGGGGGUUGGAAAGUCUCGGCGGUUGGGGAUGGACGCGCGGCUUAUCAGCUUGUUGGUGGGGUAGUGGCUUACCAAGGCUUUGACGGGUAGCCGGCCUGAGAGGGUGACCGGCCACAUGGGGACUGAGAGACGGCCCAGACUCCUACGGGAGGCAGCAGUGGGGAAUAUUGCACAAUGGGCGGAAGCCUGAUGCAGCAACGCCGCGUGCGGGAUGACGGCCUUCGGGUUGUAAACCGCUUUCGCCUGUGACGAAGCGUGAGUGACGGUAAUGGGUAAAGAAGCACCGGCUAACUACGUG